rnacentral:tRNA from 1 species
GUCUGGGUAGCAAAACGGCAAAUGCGCUGGCCUGCAAAGCCAUGAGGUGCGAGUUCGAUUCUCGCCUCAGACU